rnacentral:rRNA from 1 species
CGAUCCGUAGCUGGUCUGAGAGGACGACCAGCCACACUGGAACUGAGACACGGUCCAGACUCCUACGGGAGGCAGCAGUGGGGAAUUUUGGACAAUGGGGGCAACCCUGAUCCAGCCAUGCCGCGUGGGUGAAGAAGGCCUUCGGGUUGUAAAGCCCUUUCGGCGGAGACGAAACGGUCCAUGCUAACACCAUGGACAACUGACGGUACCCGCAGAAGAAGCACCGGCUAACUACGUGCCAGCAGCCGUGGUAAUACGUAGGGUGCAGGCGUUAAUCGGAAUUACUGGGCGUAAAGCGUGCGCAGGCGGCUCUUUAAGUCAGAUGUGAAAUCCCCGGGCUUAACCUGGGAACUGCGUUUGAAACUGGAGGGCUAGAGUGUGGCAGAGGGGGGUGGAAUUCCAGGUGUAGCAGUGAAAUGCGUAGAUAUCUGGAGGAACACCGAUGGCGAAGACAGCCCCCUGGGCUAACACUGACGCUCAUGCACGAAAGCGUGGGGAGCAAACAGGAUUAGAUACCCUGGUAGUCCACGCCCUAAACUAUGUCAACUGGUUGUCGGGGAAGCAAUUCCUUGGUAACGAAGCUAACGCGUGAAGUUGACCGCCUGGGGAGUACGGCCGCAAGGUUAAAACUCGAAGGAAUUGACGGGGACCCGCACAAGCGGUGGAUUAUGUGGAUUAAUUCGAUGCAACGCGAAAAACCUUACCUACCCUUGACAUGUACGGAAGCCCGCAGAGAUGCGGGGGUGCCCGAAAGGGAACCGUAACACAGGUGCUGCAUGGCUGUCGUCAGCUCGUGUCGUGAGAUGUUGGGUUAAGUCCCGCAACGAGCGCAACCCUUGCCAUUAGUUGCUACAUUCAGUUGGGCACUCUAAUGGGACUGCCGGUGACAAACCGGAGGAAGGUGGGGAUGACGUCAAGUCCUCAUGGCCCUUAUGGGUAGGGCUUCACACGUAAUACAAUGGUCGGUACAGAGGGCUGCCAACCCGCGAGGGGGAGCAAAUCUCAGAAAGCCGAUCGUAGUCCGGAUUGCAGUCUGCAACUCGACUGCAUGAAGCCGGAAUCGCUAGUAAUCGCGGAUCAGCACGCCGCGGUGAAUACGUUCCCGGGUCUUGUACACACCGCCCGUCACACCAUGGGAGUGGGUUUCACCAGAAGUAGUUAGCCUAACCGCAAGGAGGGCGACUACCACGGUGAGAUUCAUGA